UACGUAGGGACCAAGCGUUGUUCGGAUUUACUGGGCGUAAAGGGCGCGUAGGCGGCAUUGUUAGUCACUUGUGAAAUCUCCGGGCUUAACUCGGAACGGCCAAGUGAUACUGCAGUGCUAGAGUGCGGAAGGGGCAAUCGGAAUUCUUGGUGUAGCGGUGAAAUGCGUAGAUAUCAAGAGGAACACCUGAGGUGAAGACGGGUUGCUGGGCCGACACUGACGCUGAGGCGCGAAAGCCAGGGGAGCAAACGGG
rnacentral:rRNA from 1 species